CAGCAGCCGCGGUAAUACGUAGGGUGCAAGCGUUAAUCGGAAUUACUGGGCGUAAAGCGUGCGCAGGCGGUUCGGUAAGACAGAUGUGAAAUCCCCGGGCUUAACCUGGGAACUGCAUUUGUGACUGGCGGGCUAGAGUAUGGCAGAGGGGGGUGGAAUUCCACGUGUAGCAGUGAAAUGCGUAGAGAUGUGGAGGAACACCGAUGGCGAAGGCAGCCCCCUGGGCCAAUACUGACGCUCAUGCACGAAAGCGUGGGGAGCAAACAGGAUUAGAUACCCCUGUAGUCCCUGUCUCUUAUAC
rnacentral:rRNA from 1 species